CCUAACAUUUCAUUUCAGCCGCUCCAAAUUUUUUUUCACUUCUCUCUCGAUCAGAUCUGCCUCUCUCACUCAACCUCCUCUCCCCAAACCAAAUCCGUCGACUUCUUCUUUCAAGCUCUCUGUCACUGUCGUUCUCUCUCUCUCUCUCUCGGUGUCUCUCGCAGCGUGGCUCUCUCUCUGUCACUGUCGUUUUCUCCCGGUCAAUCUCGCUAUCUCUUUCUCAGCCAUUCUCUCUGUCACUCUUGCUCUCUCUCACGGUCACUCUCGCUCUCUCUCAGCCAUUCUCUCUCAGUUUUCCUCACUCGAUUUUUCUGUCAAUUUGAGCCGCAAAUUCUCAUGAACGAGUUAGGGCUUUAAGGUAUUCGUAUAAAUUCCUUCGUUUAUAUUUGUAUUACCCCAGGUCUGAAGGAAGACAGACUUCUUCUCUCACACUGGAUCUUGUGUUUUUAUGGAUCUUGGUCUUUUGUUGAGUGUCCUGGUCUGUUACUUGUAGCAGCUUUUGUUAUUGCUCAGCUGGAUUAGAGUACUUUUCAUUUGUCGAUCCUCAUCAAGAAGUUUCUAUCUACACCAGGCGGCAGUGAAAGUUAUAUGUGAUCAUGUGAGUGGGAAAUCGAAAGGGUAUGGAUUUGUGAAGUUUACUUCUGGAAUUGAAGCCAGCACUGCUCUCAAAGAAAUGGAUGGUCAGUUGCUAGAUGGCAGACGAAUCCGCUUGGAAUUUGCACACAAGGGGUAAUGACAUUGAUCUCAGGUACAGUGGAUUGGAGGGGGCAUGUUGUGGUAGGUGAUAUUAACCAGCAAGUCCAGAUCUGAGUUGCACACUGAUUCUAUUUUAUUUUAUUUUCGCCUUGUGGCAAUUUUGUAAAAUUUGUGAUAUAAAUUUUCUUCUUGUCUUCCAAUGAAAUGAAUAUGUUUGAAGAGAUUUGAUCAACUUUAUUAUGACAAAUCUGUCUUCCCAGUGCAUCAAGGGUCAUUCUUCCCCAAAUUUAUAUUCCCGUCUAAUUUUCUUAUGGUGGAUUGGGCAAUUUGGGAAGCAAUCCAUGGAAUGCUAAGAAGAUUAGGCCUGAACAAGUCAGCUUGAAUGCAUCUCUGAGGCUACAGGAAUUUCUGCGGGUAAAUGAAUGCUUGGGGUCUCACAGUGGGCAGGGUCAAACAAAAGAAAAGUGGCAGACACUACAUGCUAACACUCUCAAAAUAAAUGUGGAUGGUGCUUGGAAGCCAGGGACCACAGAGGGUGGCGUCGACGUGGUUGUGAGAAACUCCACCGGCAAAUUUGUGGUGAAUUGUACAGUUAAAUUGGUUAAUGUAUUCUCUGCACAACAAGUGGAGGCUUUGACUGCAAGAACAGGUACAGUAUUGGCAAUGGAAAAGGGUUUUCAAAAUGUUGUCUUUGAAAGGGAUGCUCUCCAGAUCGUUACAGCACUUUGAAGUAACUCCAUAGAUAGGUACGUCAUUGGACCAGUGGUGGAGGAUACCAAGAGCUUGCUGACACAAGUCACUGGGGAAGGUUUUACCCAUAUUCGUCGUACUGCCAAUGGUGUGGCUCAUCGUAUAGCGCAUUUUGCACCAGUAACCUCCUGAUUUUAUUUCAGAUAUACUGUAUGAGGAUUGUAAUUCGUCAUCAAGGAAUUUCCUUUGCCUUUGAUACGAGUUCAGACUUCUUAUAUUAGCUUUUUCACAUCAAUAAUAUUCUAUCGCUUAUCAUAAACAAA